ensembl:lncRNA
CAACUGGGAGGGACUGGGAGGGACUGGGAGGGGCAGGAGGUGGGACUGGGGGAGAAGGGGAGGGACUGGGAGCAACUGGGAGGGACUGGGAGGGAAUGGGAGGGGAAAGAGGUGGGACUGGGAGGGAAUGGGAGGAACUGGGAGGGAAUGGGAGGGAAUGGGAGGGGGGGAGGUAGGACUGGGAGGGAAUGGGACAGACUGGGAGGUGAUACUGGGAGGGACUGGGAGGGGAAGGAGGUGGGACUGGGACGGACUGGGAGGGACUGGGAGAGACUGGGAGGGAAUGGGAGGGGGAGGAGGUGAUACUGGGAGGGACUGGGAGCAACUGGGAGGGACUGGGAAGGACUGGGAGUAACUGGGAGGGACUGGGAGGGAUUGGGACGGUCUGGGAGGGGGGGGAGGUGGGACUGGGAGGGAAUGGGAUGAACUGGGACGGACUGGGAGGGGAAGGAGGUGGGACUGGGAGGGAAUGGGAGGGACUGGGAGGGACUGGGAGGGGAUGGGAGGUCAGAUGGGGUCAUACUGGGAGGAACUGGGAGAGAAUGGGAGGGACUGGGAGGGGAUGGGACUGGGAGGGAACUGGGAGGGACUGGGACUGGGAGCAACUGGGAGGGGAAGGAGGUGGGACUGGGAGGGACUGGGAGGGGGAGGAGGUGGGACUGGGAGGGACUGGGAGGUGAUACUGGGAGGGACUGGGAGCAACUGGGAGGGACUAGGACAGGCUGGGAGGGACUGGGAGAGGGAAUGGGGGCAACUGGAAGAGACUGGGAGGGACUGGAAGAGACUGGGAGGGACUGGGAGAGACUGGGAGGGGAAGGAGGUGGGACUGGGACGGACUGGGACGGACUGGGAUGGACUGGGAUGGACUGGGACGGACUGGGAGGUGGGACGGGGUUAUACUGGGAGGGACUGGGAGAGAACUGGGAGGGACUGGGUCGUACUGGGAGGCGGCCCUUGGUUAUGCUGGGCUGUACUGGGCUGUACUGGGCCACAUUGGGUCACACUGGGCCUUACUGGGUCAUACUGGGAAGCGCUCCUGGGUCAUACUGGUCCAUACUGGUCCAUACUGGUCCGUACUGGGAUCCCAUUCCCCCCCCCCAUUCCCAGUGCUCCCAGUGCUGGAGCGGGUCCUGGUGGCUUAUACUGGUCCAUACCUGUCCACCCUAAUCCAUACUGGUUCAUACUGGUCUAAACUGGUCCGUACUGGUCCGUACUGGUCCAUACUGGGAUCCCGUUCCCCCCUCCCAGUGCUCCCAGUCCUGGAGCGGGUCCUGGUGCCUUAUCCUGGUCUGUACUGGUCCAUAUCUCCCCGUAUCUGCCCAUUCUUGUUCAUUCUGGUCUAUACUUGUCCAUACUGGUCCGUACUGGUCCAUACUGGUCCAUACUGGGAUCCCAUUCCCCCCCCCAUUCCCAGUGCUCCCAGUUCUGGAGCGGGUCCUGGUGCCUUAUACUGGUCUGUACUGGUCCAUAUCUGCCCGUAUCUGCCCACACUUGUCCAUACUGGUCUAUACUUGUCCAUGCUGGUCCAUACUGGUCUGUACUGGUCCAUACUGGUCCGUACUGGCCCAUACUGGGAUCCCCUUCCCCCCUCCCAGUGCUCCCAGUGCUGGAGCAGGUCCUGGUGCCUUAUACUGGUCUGUACUGGUCCAUAUCUCCCCGUAUCUGCCCACACUUGUCCAUACUGGUCUAUACUUGUCCAUACUGGUCUAUACUUGUCCAUACUGGUCUAUACUUGUCCAUACUGGUCCGUACUGGUCCAUACUGGGAUCCCGUUGCCCCCUCCCAGUGCUCCCAGUGCUGGAGCGGGUCCUGGUGCNNNNNNNNNNNNNNNNNNNNNNNNNNNNNNNNNNNNNNNNNNNNNNNNNNNNNNNNNNNNCCAGGUUGUGGGUCCCGCCCCCUAACCCCUGCCCCAUAGCGGACAAGCUGUGGUGCACGUCGGGCUGCGCCAACUCCCAGGUUGUGGGUCCCAGGCUGGAGUUGUGGGUCCCAGGUUGUGGGUCCCGCCCCCUAACCCCUGCCCCAUAGCGGACGAGCCGUGGCGCACGUCGGGCCGCGCCAACUUCUUGAUGUCCCAGUCUGUGGGUCCCAGGCUGGACUUGUGGGUCCCAGGUUGUGGGUCCCAGGUUGUGGGUCCCAGGCUGGAGUUAUGGGUCCCAGUCUGUGGGUCCCAGGUUGUGGGUCCCAGGCUGGAGUUGUGGGUCCUGCCCCCUAUCCCUGCCCCAUAGCGGACGAGCCGUGGCGCACGUCGGGCUGGGCCAACUCCUUGAUGUCCCAGUCUGUAGGUCCUGGUCUGUGGGUCCCAGGCUGGAGUUGUGGGUCCCAGGUUGUGGGUCCCGGGCUGUGGGUCCCAGGUUGUGGGUCCCGCCCCCUAACCCCUGCCCCAUAGCGGACGAGCCGUGACCCCAGGUUGUGGGUCACCCCCUAACCCCUGCCCCAUAGUGGACAAGCUGUGGCGCAUGUCGGGCCGGGCCAACUCCUCCAUGUACCAGGUUGUGGGUCCCAGUCUAUGGGUCCCAGUAUGGGGUUGUGGGUCCCAGGUUGUGGGUCCCGCCCCCUAACCCCUGCCCCAUAGCGGAUGAGCCGUGGCGCACGUCGGGCCGCGCCAACUCCUUGAUGUCCCAGGUUGUGGGUCCCAGUCUGUAGGUCCCAGUCUAUGGGUCCCAGUAUGGGGUUGUGGGUCCCAGCCUGGACUUGUGGGUCUGUGGGUCACCCCCUUAACCCGUGCCCCAUAGCGGACAGGUGCCAGGUUGUGAGUCCCAGGCUGUGGGUCCCAGUCUAUAGAUCCCAGACUGGAGUUGUGGGUCCCAGUCUAUGGAUCCCAGUCUGGACUUGUGGGUCCCAGGUUGUGGGUCCCAGGUUGUGGGUCCCGCCCCCUAACCCCGUGCCCCAUAGCGGACGAGC